UGUGCUCUCUCUCUUUCUCUCUUAUUCUCUUAUUGACCACUGUGUGAGUAGUGCUCAAUCGAAGCGGACUACUCAAAGAGAACGGAUGCGUGGACGACUGAUUUAUUCAAAAAUCUGACCGAAGUAAACACGAAUUGAGACCAAAACACAAGGAUUUACAUUAAAAUCAGCCGAAGCGAACGGCUCGCUCACUCGGCGAAAAAAAGGAAAUGUUUAAUUUAAAGAAAAUAUCGUAAUAAUCUAAAUCUAAGAAAUACUGUUUAAGUAUUUACUAAUAAUCUUCUUUUUAUUCCAA